AGUCUCUUCAAGAAAGCAAAAAUCUUGAAAUAAAGAAAAUCAAUGAUGACAAGAAAGCAUCGAUGGCAGCUCAGUUUGCUGCUGAAGCCACUCUUCGAAGGGUCCAUUCUGCUCAGAAGGAUGAUGACAUGCCUCCUAUAGAGGCCAUUCUUGCUCCUCUAGAAGCUGAACUUAAGCUUGCCCGGCAAGAGAUUGCUAAACUUCAAGAUGAUAACAAAGCUUUAGAUCGUCUUACCAAAAUAAA